UUUUGAGAGAGAGUCUCACUCUGUUGCCCAGGUGGAAUGCAGUGGCACAAUCUCAGCUCACUGCAGCCUCCACCUCCCAGGUUCAAGCAAUUCUCCUGCUUUGGCCUCCUGAGUAGCUGGGACUACAGGUGUGUGCCACCACGCCCGGCUAAUUUUUGUAUUUGUUAGUAGAGAUGGGGUUUCACCAUAUUGGCCAGGCUGGUCUCAAACUCCUGACCUCGUGAUCCAUCUGCCUCAGCCUCCCAAAGUGCUGGGAUUAUAGGCAUGAGCCACCGCACCCGGCUUGUUUUUCUUUACAUUUGAUCAUCUAUGUAUGCGUAUCUACUAAGCAAUAUAGUAACCACUAUCCUGACUUUUAU
rnacentral:lncRNA from 1 species